GAAAUACUCCCUCAGUCCCAAAAUUCUUGUUUUAGAUUUGUCUAAAUACGGAUGCAUCAAGUCACGUUUUGGUAUUAGAUUCAUCCGUAUCUAGACUAAAGACAAGAAUUUUGGGACGGAGGGAGUAUAAA
rfam:Triticum aestivum genome assembly, contig: Triticum_aestivum_CS42_TGACv1_scaffold_500796_6BL